GUCUUCCACCGGGUUUCCGUAGCCCGUGACUGAUUUCAAAGCGCUACCAAAUCAUGGUCUCUGCACAGGUCCUGAAUUCUUGACGAAUAUUUAUUCCGAUGAAUAUUUAUUGCGAUGAAUUAUUAUCCUCACUCAGUUGGUGCCAAUAUUGGAUAAGGAAGAUGAGACAGAGAAAUUAAAUUACUAGCUCCCAGUCACAAAGGUGCCCAACACCAUCACAAUUAAUCUCUUGAGAGGAAUAUUCUUUGGGUUCACAGAAGAUGAAAUCUGAACAACUACCAGAGAUAGAUGGAAAAUCUGGAGAAGCCAAGUUAAUAAAGACCUUCCCCUUU